rnacentral:tRNA from 1 species
GGCGGCGUAGCCAAGUGGUAAGGCAACGGACUGCAAAUCCGUCAUUCACCGGUUCGAAUCCGGUCGCCGCCU